rnacentral:rRNA from 1 species
UACAGAGGGUGCGAGCGUUAAUCGGAAUUACUGGGCGUAAAGGGCGCGUAGGUGGCUGUUCAAGUCUGAUGUGAAAGCCCUGGGCUUAACCUGGGAAUGGCAUUGGAAACUGAAUAGCUAGAGUGGAGUAGAGGGGAGUGGAAUUUCCAGUGUAGCGGUGAAAUGCGUAGAUAUUGGAAGGAACACCGGUGGCGAAGGCGGCUCCCUGGGCUCUUACUGACACUGAGGCGCGAAAGCGUGGGUAGCGAACAGGAUUAGAUACCCUGGUAGUCCACGCUGUAAACGAUGAGAACUAGCUGUUGGGUGGCAUGACCAUUCGGUAGCGAAGCAAACGCGAUAAGUUCUCCGCCUGGGGAGUACGGCCGCAAGGUUAAA